AACUGCUUGUUGCAACCGACUGAGACUUUGUUAGCACGAACAAUUCAUCAACUCGGUCACAAAUCACCACAUCCCACGUUAGGACAUAAUACCUAUUAAUCUCUUGGGAAGUCCAGAAAUUCGUAGACUGAACACUCAGUUUCUACAAGCAACAGUUGUAACACUCUAAAUCCAGCUUCUAAAGAUGUAAACAGGGGACUAGCCAAAAUUAUAUGAGCAUUAUCAUGUUUUUCCGCCAACAGCACAUAAACCAGUAAUGCCGAAUUGCACCCACAAACCUAACAAAUCUUGCGUUGCUGGCCUAGUCAGAAGAAGAGACAAUAACAAAAGACAUUCAAACAGCUGAGAAAAUUCUAGAAAUGCAAAAAAAGUAACCUAAAACCUUAAGAGACAAAAGAAAACCCAGAAAUUCCCACAGCCGAAUCAUCAAUUUAGUUUACAGC
rnacentral:lncRNA from 1 species